CACUUUCGCUUAGCCACUCAGAUCUCAAUUGAUCCGAACAGSUAGUAACCAUCGUUUACGGCGUAGACUACCAGGGUAUCUAAUCCUGUUCGCUACCUACGCUUUCGUCCAUCAGCGUCAGUGAAUUGUUAGUGAUCUGCCUUCGCAAUCGGUAUUCUGAGUAAUAUCUAUGCAUUUCACCGCUACACUACUCAUUCUAACCACUUCACAAGCACUCAAGAACAACAGUAUCAAUGGCAAUUCUACAGUUGAGCUGCAGACUUUCACCACUGACUUAUUGUCCCGCCUACGGACCCUUUAAACCCAAUGAUUCCGGAUAACGCUUGGAUCCUCCGUAUUACCGCGGCUGCUGGCACGGAGUUAGCCGAUCCUUAUUCUUACAGUACCGUCAACACCCGACACGUCGGGCUUUUUCUUCCUGUAUAAAAGCAGUUUACAACCCAUAGGGCAGUCUUCCUGCACGCGGCAUGGCUGGAUCAGGAUUGCUCCCAUUGUCCAAUAUUCCUCACUGCUGCCUCCCGUAGGC
rnacentral:rRNA from 1 species